rnacentral:rRNA from 1 species
UACGUAGGGCGCGAGCGUUAAUCGGAAUUACUGGGCGUAAAGCGUGCGCAGGCGGUUUUGUAAGCCGGAUGUGAAAUCCCCGGGCUUAACCUGGGAAUGGCAUUCGGGACUGCAAGGCUGGAGUGCGGCAGAGGAGACUGGAAUUCCUGGUGUAGCAGUGAAAUGCGUAGAUAUCAGGAGGAACACCGAUGGCGAAGGCAGGUCUCUGGGCUGACCACUGACGCUCAUGCACGAAAGCGUGGG